GACUCGUCACACUAUCAUUAACUGAAUCCAUAGGUUAAUGAGGCGAACCGGGGGAACUGAAACAUCUAAGUACCCCGAGGAAAAGAAAUCAACCGAGAUUCCCCCAGUAGCGGCGAGCGAACGGGGAGGAGCCCAGAGCCUGAAUCAGCAUGUGUGUUAGUGGAAGCGUCUGGAAAGGCGCGCGAUACAGGGUGACAGCCCCGUACACAAAAGCGCAUGUGCUGUGAGCUCGAUGAGUAGGGCGGGACACGUGGUAUCCUGUCUGAAUAUGGGGGGACCAUCCUCCAAGGCUAAAUACUCCUGACUGACCGAUAGUGAACCAGUACCGUGAGGGAAAGGCGAAAAGAACCCCGGCGAGGGGAGUGAAAAAGAACCUGAAACCGUGUACGUACAAGCAGUGGGAGCACCCUUUGGGGUGUGACUGCGUACCUUUUGUAUAAUGGGUCAGCGACUUAUAUUCUGUAGCAAGGUUAACCGAAUAGGGGAGCCGGAGGGAAACCGAGUCUUAAUUGGGCGUUAAGUUGCAGGGUAUAGACCCGAAACCCGGUGAUCUAGCCAUGGGCAGGUUGAAGGUUGGGUAACACUAACUGGAGGACCGAACCGACUAAUGUUGAAAAAUUAGCGGAUGACCUGUGGCUGGGGGUGAAAGGCCAAUCAAACCGGGAGAUAGCUGGUUCUCCCCGAAAGCUAUUUAGGUAGCGCCUCGUGAAUUCAUCUCCGGGGGUAGAGCACUGUUUCGGCUAGGGGGCCAUCCCGGCUUACCAACCCGAUGCAAACUGCGAAUACCGGAGAAUGUUAUCACGGGAGACACACGGCGGGUGCUAACGUCCGUCGUGAAGAGGGAAACAACCCAGACCGCCAGCUAAGGUCCCAAAGUCAUGGUUAAGUGGGAAACGAUGUGGGAAGGCCCAGACAGCCAGGAUGUUGGCUUAGAAGCAGCCAUCAUUUAAAGAAAGCGUAAUAGCUCACUGGUCGAGUCGGCCUGCGCGGAAGAUGUAACGGGGCUAAACCAUGCACCGAAGCUGCGGCAGCGACACUCAGGUGUUGUUGGGUAGGGGAGCGUUCUGUAAGCCUGCGAAGGUGGCCUGUGAGGGUUGCUGGAGGUAUCAGAAGUGCGAAUGCUGACAUAAGUAACGAUAAAGCGGGUGAAAAGCCCGCUCGCCGGAAGACCAAGGGUUCCUGUCCAACGUUAAUCGGGGCAGGGUGAGUCGACCCCUAAGGCGAGGCCGAAAGGCGUAGUCGAUGGGAAACGGGUUAAUAUUCCCGUACUUGGUGUUACUGCGAAGGGGGGACGGAGAAGGCUAUGUUGGCCGGGCGACGGUUGUCCCGGUUUAAGCGUGUAGGUGUGUGUUCCAGGUAAAUCCGGUUCACUUUAACACUGAGGCGUGACGACGAGGCACUACGGUGCUGAAGCAACAAAUGCCCUGCUUCCAGGAAAAGCCUCUAAGCAUCAGGUAACGUCAAAUCGUACCCCAAACCGACACAGGUGGUCAGGUAGAGAAUACCAAGGCGCUUGAGAGAACUCGGGUGAAGGAACUAGGCAAAAUGGUGCCGUAACUUCGGGAGAAGGCACGCUGACACGUAGGUGAAGUGAUUUACUCACGGAGCUGAAGUCAGUCGAAGAUACCAGCUGGCUGCAACUGUUUAUUAAAAACACAGCACUGUGCAAACACGAAAGUGGACGUAUACGGUGUGACGCCUGCCCGGUGCCGGAAGGUUAAUUGAUGGGGUCAGCGCAAGCGAAGCUCCUGAUCGAAGCCCCGGUAAACGGCGGCCGUAACUAUAACGGUCCUAAGGUAGCGAAAUUCCUUGUCGGGUAAGUUCCGACCUGCACGAAUGGCGUAAUGAUGGCCAGGCUGUCUCCACCCGAGACUCAGUGAAAUUGAACUCGCUGUGAAGAUGCAGUGUACCCGCGGCAAGACGGAAAGACCCCGUGAACCUUUACUAUAGCUUGACACUGAACAUUGAGCCUUGAUGUGUAGGAUAGGUGGGAGGCUUUGAAGUGUGGACGCCAGUCUGCAUGGAGCCGACCUUGAAAUACCACCCUUUAAUGUUUGAUGUUCUAACGUGGACCCGUGAUCCGGGUUGCGGACAGUGUCUGGUGGGUAGUUUGACUGGGGCGGUCUCCUCCUAAAGAGUAACGGAGGAGCACGAAGGUUGGCUAAUCCUGGUCGGACAUCAGGAGGUUAGUGCAAUGGCAUAAGCCAGCUUGACUGCGAGCGUGACGGCGCGAGCAGGUGCGAAAGCAGGUCAUAGUGAUCCGGUGGUUCUGAAUGGAAGGGCCAUCGCUCAACGGAUAAAAGGUACUCCGGGGAUAACAGGCUGAUACCGCCCAAGAGUUCAUAUCGACGGCGGUGUUUGGCACCUCGAUGUCGGCUCAUCACAUCCUGGGGCUGAAGUAGGUCCCAAGGGUAUGGCUGUUCGCCAUUUAAAGUGGUACGCGAGCUGGGUUUAGAACGUCGUGAGACAGUUCGGUCCCUAUCUGCCGUGGGCGCUGGAGAACUGAGGGGGGCUGCUCCUAGUACGAGAGGACCGGAGUGGACGCAUCACUGGUGUUCGGGUUGUCAUGCCAAUGGCACUGCCCGGUAGCUAAAUGCGGAAGAGAUAAGUGCUGAAAGCAUCUAAGCACGAAACUUGCCCCGAG
rnacentral:rRNA from 1 species